CAGUCAGAAUGGUCUUUGGGAUCACACUUCUAUGUCAGAGACACCUCAUUUAGGAUCACUAUGCACUCCUCAUGCACACAUAGUAUUUGGAUCAUGCUGUGACCACCGUGUUGUGCUCAUAGCGCUAACAUCAUGCCCGCACCCCCGCUUUCCUUGGAAGAUACCGGAUUUGGCCUUGAGGCUGUGCAAAUAUUACUUCAUAACACUCCUGAUGAAUGGCUGUAAUGCCAAGAAUCGCGUGGAGUGCUACUAGAUGCCAACAGUUACUUUUCUCUAUUAC